GCGGCUUUAGCUCAAUUUUGAGAGCGUCAGACUGAAGAUCUGAAGGUCCCUUGUUUGAUCCACGGUAGCCACA